UAAAAAACAAAAAAAAUACCUUAAAAUUUUUUUGGGCAUUUGGGGGGGACUACAACCCAGCCCAGUCCCCCUCCAUCCAUCUCUGCCUCUAGGUGUUGGGUUCAACUGCAUAACUUUCACUGUAGACCAGCACUCUAUGAUGAGGUGAUUCCUAUACUUAUAGCUGAUGUUGAUAAUCAGACUUCGUAUAACAUGACUUAACCCAAAGCAAUUGAAGACAUUAGAUUCAUUAGACUCGAUGUCUUCUUUGUAUUCAAAAUCAAGAAAAAAUAUUCGCCAGUAAUUAGAUUAUACUAGCAAACCACACAUUCACUUGCAUUGGAAUUCAAAUCUAAGGGAGGAAAAAAUCCCUAAUUAUGUUACCUUGCAUGAUAUAACUAGAUGUCCAUUUUAGAAGUUAGCUUAGAUUUCCAAGCUUUGGAAAGGUAUAAGUGACAGUUUAUCUGGGCACUGAUCUCCAUUUUCAGUAGCUUCGGAUGUCAAUGAGUAAAUCCUGGCUUUCCCCCAGGUACAUGAUUGUGUCAAAAAACAGAGGCAAGCAAGGAUUUAUCAAAGCUGCUCCUAGCAUAAUUAGGUUUAUCAACGAGAGAAAGCCAGGAUUUACUCAGUGACAUGCAUUAAACACAGAUUUAGCCUCAAAAUCGGCAGAGGAUUUUCGUGAGAUUGUUAUUUGACAAAUUGUUUAUCUGGGUACUGAUCUCCAUUUUCAGUAGCUACUCGUCUUCAAUAUAAUCAUGGUUGGUGUUGCUUUCAU
rnacentral:lncRNA from 1 species